GGCCCGGUGGUGUAGCGGCUAACACGCGGCCCUGUCAAGGCCGAGAUCGUGGGUUCGAAUCCCAUCCGGGUCGCCA
rnacentral:tRNA from 1 species